rnacentral:rRNA from 1 species
CUGUUUUGAAAGAUUUCUUCGGAAUGAAUUUAAUUUAGUUUAGUGGCGGACGGGUGAGUAACGCGUGAGUAACCUGCCUUCAAGAGGGGGAUAACAUUCUGAAAAGAAUGCUAAUACCGCAUGACAUAUCGGAACCACAUGGUUCUGAUAUCAAAGAUUUUAUCGCUUGAAGAUGGACUCGCGUCCGAUUAGUUAGUUGGUGAGGUAACGGCUCACCAAGACCGCGAUCGGUAGCCGGACUGAGAGGUUGAACGGCCACAUUGGGACUGAGACACGGCCCAGACUCCUACGGGAGGCAGCAGUGGGGGAUAUUGCGCAAUGGGGGCAACCCUGACGCAGCAACGCCGCGUGAAGGAUGAAGGUUUUCGGAUUGUAAACUUCUUUUAUUAAGGACGAAAAAUGACGGUACUUAAUGAAUAAGCUCCGGCUAACUACGUGCCAGCAGCCGCGGUAAUACGUAGGGAGCAAGCGUUGUCCGGAUUUACUGGGUGUAAAGGGUGCGUAGGCGGCUUUGCAAGUCAGAUGUGAAAUCUAUGGGCUCAACCCAUAAACUGCAUUUGAAACUGUAGAGCUUGAGUGAAGUAGAGGCAGGCGGAAUUCCCCGUGUAGCGGUGAAAUGCGUAGAGAUGGGGAGGAACACCAGUGGCGAAGGCGGCCUGCUGGGCUUUAACUGACGCUGAGGCA